rfam:Gossypium raimondii chromosome 6, whole genome shotgun sequence.
GGGUGCGAUCAUACCAGCACUAAUGCACCGAAUCUCAUCAGAACUCCGCAGUUAAGCGUGUUUGGGCGAGAGUAGUAGGAUGGGUGACCUCCUGAGAAGUCCUCGUGUUGCACCCC